AGAGCACAGAAGGGCACCUCAGAGCCUGCCCUCGCCCCAGCCAGCAGCUGGGAGACCCCCAGCUCCCACCCACUCCCAGACCCGGCUGGUCUCUACAGCUCACCAAUGCCUCCCAGUUACCCUCCAGAAGACAGGGGCCUGUCCAGGACAGCUGCUCUAGGGGCUGGACUGUGGGGUGUCUAACCCACUGGAGAGCAGUCUGGCACCUUUCUGUCCUCUCCCUUUUAAGAAUCAAUACCGUUUAAUUGCUCAGUAGGUGGAGAGUGCUGCUUUACAGUGCGAGUGGCUCAGGAAAGUGCCUUUGCUUUUCUGCUGCACUGUGAGCGAAGGCAGGAAAAGGCUGUCCCAAGGCUGUCCUGGGUCCCCCAGUGCCCUUCCCUGGCUUGGCCACUAUGCCGAGGAAUGAUCUGCUUCAUUUUCCCUGAAACUCAUCAGUGUCUAUCUGGUACAUUCCCAGGGGCAGAGGUGAGCUCAGCUCCUCCUUGAGGCCACUGGACAAGAGGGCAGGAGGACGACCUCCCUCCGCUUACGGCUCUUCCGCCUGGCCCGUGCCGUGGCAGCACAGCUCUGUGCCAGGGCCAGCCCCUGCGGGCUCCUCACUUGCUGGCCAAUUCGGCCUGGGAACACCAUGGCUGCACCUCAGAACUUGCCCAGCUUUGGAAAAUGAAACCAGCAAUUUCAGCACAUGUCAACUGAACUGAUUCUAAGAGGAAGAGUAAGAUCAUCCCACACAUGGACAGGAAGGUAUCAUCAGUACCACUGUCAUCAGCCCCCUGUCACCACUGAGGACACUGAGCUUCAGAGAGGGUAGGUAACCUAUCCCAGGUCACACAGCUUAGACAUGGAGCUAGAUCAAACCCAAGUCUUCCAAAUAGCAAAUCUAGGGCUUUCUACCACACUAUUCUUUUCUAUAGUCAUUUACAUGAGGUGCCAUAAAACCCAGUAAACACUAACCUCAGGAGGAGUUUUACAUUCACACUCUGAUGACAAACUGUUCUGCUGCUCCCUGGUCCAAGGACUAUUUUAAUACCAGGACAGUAAAAGACUGAUUUGGCAGAGGACAAAAGUCUCAGCAGACGAGGCUCUCCUUCUGAAUCUUCCCAUGCUGCCUUUUCUGGUACCCCGCCCUGCCCUCCCCACCGCGCCCAGGAGCUCUGAGGACUGACCCCCAAGGCCCCCGACAGAGGUGCUGGUGCCCAUGC